UAAAAGAUUGUUUCCUUCAUCGUGUCACCUAAUCUCAUUUCUCUUCUUCUUCUUCACUGAGCUCUCUACAGCGAACGGAGCAAAUUCUUUAAUCCUUCCCUCUUUCUCUCGCUUUUUGGUUUUUCAGAUCAAGAAGCUUUCUCCAAGGUUAGUUUCUUUCUCAAUUCGUUUUCGUUUUUAAUAAAAAGAUUUGGUUUUUAGAACUUGAGCUCUCUAGUCUCCUCCAUCUUCUUACCGGAAAUAGAAAGAAAAAAACAGAGGAAACUGGUUCCAAUAGCAGGUACGUAUAUACACAUACAGGUCUUUGUGAAAACAUGACAUCUCAGCUGAAACAAUCUCUAACCAAGAGAUACGGCUCUCUUGAACUGUGGGAGAUCAUAGUGAUUGCUCUAUUUGCAGGGUUCAUUGUAAUCCUCGCCAUUUCAGUAUGGCUCGGCUUCCGUAAAAAAUCCAAGAGAUCUAAUGCAACAACUCUUCAGGGUGGGAGAGAAAACAGAACAAAAACAAUGGCAGCAGCAGCAGCAGCAACAUCAGCUUCUUUGUUUUCAAUUGGAUCUUGUUACUCGUCUAAAGCCAGCUCCUUUACACCACAGUCUAGGACACAAGCUGUGAACUUUAACUCAAUCCCUAGUUUCACCCGUCUUAGAUCAACCUCACUCAUCUCUGGAUCUGAUUCUUCUUCUUCCUUGACCAAGACUCUCCGCGGUUCUGUGACUAAAGCUCAAACCUCUGACAAGAAGCCUUACGGAUUCAAGAUCAAUGCUUCUUACAAUUUGUGUAUGCCUAGUCUAUAGAUUAACGAGUUCAGGUUUAGCACUUAAGAGUAAGAUGAUCUUGUGGCUAUUUAGAGUUUAGGAGAUACGAUUGAUCUGGGUAGUCUCGUAGAACGAAGCUAGACUGAGUUCAAAUUGAGAUAGUGAUAGGAGAAGGGAGUUUGAGCAUAUAUUAGUCUGCUUGGAAUACAUUGCCAAUGUUUAGAAUCUGAAAUCUCCUCAUUGGUGCUCAGAAGUCUUACUAACCUCUAGCUUCUGUUUUCACUCUAUUUCUCUGCUUCCGUUUAAAACAAACACACAAACCCAAAAGAGCCAAUAAGCUAAGAUGCAUUGUUUAGACUGUUCUUUACAUCUUCUGUGCACAGAGCUGAAUAAAAUCGUUUUAGCACUCAAGCUUUUGACUUGGUAUAUGCCAUGAAGACCAACAUAAGAGAGUUGGAGGGAUGGUUGAAGUGGUGAUUGUGAUAAGUGACUUGCUAGAGACAACUCAUCAUUGCAGCAGAUCAUUCGACGGCAAAAAAAAGCUAUGUCCCUGACCUUGCAAAGAUCAAUAGCAGGCCUAAUAUUCUCCUCUAGUGACUUGGACUUCCAUGGAGAUUGCUUAUCGGUUCUUGGCUACACGUAAAGAGUCAAAGAAAGGGAAACUUUCUUUUUUCGGUGAUCCUCUUGCCUUUCUUCUCUAGUCCACGCCCAUUUCUUUUGAUCCAGGCCCUUCAUUUCAUCAAUACAAUCCAGGACGUCCAUUCAACCCUAAAGACAUGAGUAUCUUCUCAGCCACCAUCGUCAAUGCUCCACCAUCAAUGCCAAACAGCUAGAAACUCCAACGUUCUCCUCCAUUACUUCGCAUAUCUAGUUUCCUUUUCUGCGUAUUUUAUGACCGUUUGGUUCAGCAUUUUGUAUGGACGCAUUUUCUAAGUAAUAAAAAACACGGUUUGUCGUUUGCUUCAAAA